AAUGCAGGAGACCCGGGUUCAGUUCCUAGGUUGUGGAAGAUCCCCUGGAGAAGGGAGUGUCUCCCCACUCUAGUAUUCUUGCCUGGAGAAUUCCAUGGACAGAGGAACCUGGCGAACUACAGUCCAGGGGGUCGUAGAGAGUCGGACCCAACUGAGUGACUAACACUUUCUGCAGCCCUGCAGAUAAGUUGAGGAGGUGCCAUCUUGGGUAAGCCUUUCAAACCAGGAGCUGUUCCUGUCACCACUUUACAGAAGAGAGAACCAAGGCUGAGCAAAAUAACUGGCCCGAGGUCCCAUGACUCUCAAGCAGCAGAGCUGGAGUUUGAAUCUGGGGCUGUGUGCUUCCAAACCCUUUGCUUUUAAUCCCCACAGUACGCCAUCUUUCAAGCUCCUUUCCAGAACUGGGAGUUGGGUGGGAGCAGUCCCAGCCCCGGGCUCCCUCUCUGAGCUCGGGGAGCCAUGGUGCUGGCCCCAGCAAAGGGGAUGGGAGAUGACGUCUCCCUCCAAGAUUGCUGCCUUUUGUCCAAAUGUGCUGGCCGGGAGCCAGGCUGGAAACUCUCUGCUC
ensembl:lncRNA